GUACCAUGGAGGCACCAACUUCGACAGGACCUCCGGUGGGUCGUUCAUCGCCACUGGCUAAUGCGCCGAUCGACGAAUACGUCCGCUGAGGCAGCCGAAAUGGGUCUCCUGAGGGACCUGCACAAGGCCAUCAAGCAAACCGAGCUGGUGCUGAUCUCUGUCAACCCCACAAUCCAAUCCAUCAGGAACUACGAGAAGCAUGACCAUCAACUCGAAUGAGCGAUUCUAAGUCUGGGCAGUGACCACAGUUGACCAUCUACUCUGCUAGCCAGUCCAUACAUGUGUUCGUCAACGACCAGUCCUAUGAGUUCUUCAACAACAGGCACCGUAUAUGGUGGCUACGACAGUCCCAAGCUAACAUAUAGUGGGCAUGUGAAGAUGUGGCAAGGCAGCAACAAGAAAUUCAGAACCAGGCGGCCUCCAUGUAAGCUCAUAGCACCAGAAAUUCAUAACACUUCUUUAUUAGUAAUAUCCCCCUUUGCCCUGGAGAUGAGCAAGGUUUAUUAUUUUUCUACUUGAUUUCACUACUGUUCUUCCUUUUGUAAGCACAUUUAACGUUUGAUACAAGAAUUAGCUAAUAGAGAUGUCAUUUGCAGUGCCUCGCUCUUUACAAAUUCCAAUUGGUUUAAUUUGCAUUUGACUAGGACAAAGCACUAAAUGAUGGUUUGGUGCAGGCUCAAGCAUGAAGCAUCACUUAAGCGUGAUGAUAAGGUUCAAUAUCAAUUGCACGUCGCGGAGAUGGAGGCAGUUAGCGUUGCAAUGCCUCCUGUUUAUGUAAAUCACGGUAAUGAUGGUGGGCCAGCUGUUAAGGAUAUACAUAUGGAGAACUUUAGCGUCACUAUUGAUCUAAUUCAAGAAGCCACUUUAACAAUCGUAUUUGGAAGGCACUAUGGUUUGUGGACUCAAGUGGUCUUAUGACAAUUGCCAGCUUGCAUCCAGAGGCAAUGAGAAAGGAGUAAGAUGUCUGUUGAUAUGUUUCUGUUAGUUUGGAAUGCACUAUUAUUAGGACUCUACACUGUUGUUUUCCCAUACUAAUGGUUCCCCUUGUCUAGCUUUUUGAUUGGAAUCCACAUUCAGUACAUCCAGUACUGAAGUAUACAAGCACACAACAGAUGUCAAAGCUAUUGCCAUUUGUAAAAAAAAAUUGUUGGGCAUUUUUUCUGUAUCUUACAUAAUGAUCUUUUUUCCUUCACAGGUCUA